rnacentral:lncRNA from 1 species
AACGGGAUGUACAUGAAACAGGGGAGCUGGGAUUCUUAUGUUUUAAUCUAGAUUUGGUUCUGGAUGACUGUCAUAGAACAGGAAAGAGAUGCGGGGGAUUUGAUGAUGGUGGAGUUCGGGAGGAUGAACUCGAUUCGGUUGGGAACAGGGGAGAUGAUCCAUGGGAUUCGGUUGGUUACGGGAUGAAGGCUGGAACUGGAUGAUUACGAAUGGAUUGCGCGUGAAACAGGGGAGAGUAGCUGGGAACGGAUGCUUGGGCUUUAUCCCGUGGGUGAUGGAAGAUGAGAUUCUCGGACUGGGUGAAUGUCGUGGACAAGGAUGGAGCGCUGGCUUUGUUUGAAGCUGGAAAGCUUGCGGAAUCUAACGGGAUGAGGAUUCUGGGAAGGGAGGAUAAGUUCGGGAAGAUACGGGAAGAUACGGGAAGAGGACGCGGAUGGGAGGAGAUCUAAUCCAUUAGCUACUGUGUUCUGUUUCCGUGAAGUUUGGGAAGAAGAAUCGGAAGCAUGGGAGAUGAAGAUGAAGGAGAUACGUGGGCUGCUGGGAACAGGGGAGUGAUC